rnacentral:misc_RNA from 1 species
GUUUGGGAAAUUCCGUUAUAGACGAGGAGGAGAGAGGUGUUACUGAUGAGCAUAACCCUGUUGUUGAAUCCGAUUGUCCCGGUAUGCAGCGAGUUAUGCCUGUUGCCCAAUUGUCCAUGGAUGACGAUGUUUUUGAGGAUUUAAUGCGUGAUGAGGGACUGAUGAGUGGUGAAACGGGAGAUGGCAAGUUUUCAGCUAUUGCUAGUGCACCUAGAGUCAAAGUGUCGGCUGCUG